rnacentral:rRNA from 1 species
AUGAACGCUGGCGGCGUGCCUAAUACCUGCAAGUCGAGCGAACAGAUGAGGAGCUUGCUCCUCUGACGUUAGCGGCGGACGGGUGAGUAACCCGUGGAUAACCUACCUAUAAGACUGGGAUAACUACGGGAAACCGGAGCUAAUACCGGAUAAUAUAUUGAACCGCAUGGUUCAAUAGUGAAAGACGGUUUUGCUGUCACUUAUAGAUGGAUCCGCGCCGCAUUAGCUAGUUGGUAAGGUAACGGCUUACCAAGGCAACGAUGCGUAGCCGACCUGAGAGGGUGAUCGGCCACACUGGAACUGAGACACGGUCCAGACUCCUACGGGAGGCAGCAGUAGGGAAUCUUCCGCAAUGGGCGAAAGCCUGACGGAGCAACGCCGCGUGAGUGAUGAAGGUCUUCGGAUCGUAAAACUCUGUUAUUAGGGAAGAACAAAUGUGUAAGUAACUAUGCACGUCUUGACGGUACCUAAUCAGAAAGCCACGGCUAACUACGUG